rnacentral:lncRNA from 1 species
GUUGACCUUGAUGAAUGCUGAUGGAGACCAACCAGUGGACGUGAGCACAGUGAGGCUCUGAGUAGUGCUUUUCAGCAGAGGCAACAGUGACAGUGGGUCACCUUCACUGGUGCGGAUUUUCAUGAGCACAGCAUGUAGGCUCUUGUUCAUUGUUGGCAAAAAUGCAUAGAUAAUGGUGGUGAAUGUGUUGAAAAAGAGUAUCUGAGAAUUUGCUCUAUUGAAUAGUGUUACUGUGCUCUUUGUAUCUGCUGUAGUUUCUGUGGAAAUAAAUAGGAGACAUUACUUUUGGAGCAACCUAUCUGUAUGCCUACGGAAGACUUGCAGGCUUUCUUCUGCUAGUGCCAAGUGUCUGGUUUCAGUUCAUUAGCAGUUCCUGGUGCCUUUUUGCUGAUCAGUAAGAAAUUUCACAUUGGCCACUGCCAGAGGGAUGAGGGAGGGAAUGGUGUGCAUUCAUUGUGCAACAGGGUGUGGAGGUGGAGACAGGAUAUGUGGGGUCUUGGCUUUCUGGAGGUGGGAAGGAACAGUGCUUUUUCUACUGUUUGGGCUCUGGGAAUGCAUGCAACCCAAGUUUCUUUCUCAGAAAUUGCCAUUCCGCAGAGCUUUUGGGUAGCAUCCUGAGGGGCUGUGUCAGGGGGAACUUUCUCUUGGUUGGCUUGGGCAGUGCACUGCCUUUUGCAUUCCUGCCUGGUUUCAACACCUGCAUUUCCAAAUGAGACCCAUGCUGCUUCAUGCUCAGUAUUACAUGGACUAGAAGAGCUACCACUUUGGGGUCACAGGCAGGGAGAUGAUUUGGUAGCAUUGCUUGCAUUAUUCAACAGAACCUAGCUGCAUCUUGCAGUAAAGGCAUCCCAUCUUUCUCCCAGCCCUAGCUAUCAAAAUUUCUGCAAAGUGCAUAGGAGAGCUCCACAGAGUCCUCCAAUUGCCCAUAAUGGCCCCACCUGGGCCUCCACCCACAGCAGCCAUUUAGCCCCAGCCCUAGGUGAGGUUUUGUCCUUCGUUGGUGAGUGCUGGGGAGUAGCUUAUGCUGUUAAGAGCCCUAACAGCAAGGGGAUCUAUGGGAUGGUUCUUGUUUCCCCUGAAUAUUAUACAGUUGUACCCGGAGGUAUCCCCUAUCAAGGUCUUGGCAUCAUUGCUCCAGGCAAUUUUCAAAAAGAGAGCGGUUUGUCAAGAAGUCGUUCCUUUCUUCUUCCAGAAAUCUCUUUGAAACUAGUGCAGGCAAUUUCCUGCCUGUGAUGGCAUUCAAGACAUGAGAUACCCUUGUCUUUGACAGCAAAGGACGUUGGUUUCAUUUGAGCUUUUUCCCUUAUCACUGACAACAAUAAAAUUGUCAAGUGUGUGAUUUGAAACA